GCCCGCCUAGCCCAAUUGGCAGAGGCAAGCGACUUAAAAUCGCUUCAGUCCGGGUUCGAGUCCCGGGGCGGGCA
rnacentral:tRNA from 1 species